rnacentral:tRNA from 1 species
UCUCUGAUGGUCCAGUGGUUAAGAUUCUGAGCUCCCACUGCAGGGAACCCAGGUUUGAUCCCUGAUCAGGGAA